GCUGAUUGAUCGAAGUCCCUUUUCAUCUUGUGUUGCUUUUUGUGACGCAUGAUGAACAUCGAGGCGGUCUCUAUGUUCCACCACGUUGAUGCUMCUGUUUCAAUGUUGUGGCCCAUUGAGCGUUGCUUGGUUUCGUGGAUACAGAACAUGAUUUGGGCAUAGGGUUACUUGUGACUCUUGUUCUGUCCUUUAUCAGUGUUCUUUAUAACGACGGUUCAUGCGCGCCUAGGCUCGUACCUGCGCGAUGUUCUUUGUCGAAGAGGAAUGCUACCUGGUUGAUCCUGCCAGUAGUCAUAUGCUUGUCUCAAAGAUUAAGCCAUGCAUGUGUAAGU
rnacentral:misc_RNA from 1 species